UCCCGGUUGGCCCGGGCAGUAUCGCGUGAAAAAUACAACACACGACAAGGGUUGCGCUCGUUGCGGGACUUAACCCAACAUCUCACGACACGAGCUGAGGACGGCCAUGCAACACCUGUCACUAGGUUCCCGAAGGCACGGCUCUGUUUCCAGAGCUUUCCUAGGAUGUCAAGCCUUGGUAAGGUUCUUCGCGUAUCUUCGAAUUAAACCACAUGCUCCACCGCUUGUGCGGGUCCCCGUCAAUUCCUUUGAGUUUUAAGCUUGCGCUCGUACUCCCCAGGCGGGAUGCUUAACGCGUUAGCUUCUCAGCACAGAGGGUCGAUACUCCAUACUAAUAGCAUCCAUCGUUUACGGCGUGGACUAC
rnacentral:misc_RNA from 1 species